rnacentral:rRNA from 1 species
CAGUAGCCGCGGUAAUACGAAGGGGGCCAGCGUUGUUCGGAUUUACUGGGCGUAAAGCGCACGUAGGCGGAUCGAUCAGUCAGGGGUGAAAUCCCAGAGCUCAACUCUGGAACUGCCUUUGAUACUGUCGAUCUGGAGUAUGGAAGAGGUGAGUGGAAUUCCGAGUGUAGAGGUGAAAUUCGUAGAUAUUCGGAGGAACACCAGUGGCGAAGGCGGCUCACUGGUCCAUUACUGACGCUGAGGUGCGAAAGCGUGGGGAGCAAACAGGAUUAGAUACCCCCGUAGUCCCUGUCUCUUAUAC